GACAUAGGUGGCAAGCGUUAUUCGGAAUUACUGGGCGUAAAGCGUGCGUAGGCGGUUUGUUAAGUCUGUCGUGAAAGCCCCGGGCUCAACCUGGGAAUGGCGAUGGAUACUGGCGAGCUAGAGUACGGUAGAGGAGAGUGGAAUUCCCGGUGUAGCAGUGAAAUGCGUAGAGAUCGGGAGGAACAUCAGUUGCGAAGGCGGCUCUCUGGACCAGUACUGACGCUGAGGCACGAAAGCGUGGGGAGCAAACAGG
rnacentral:rRNA from 1 species